UACGAAGGGGGGCUAGCGUUGUUCGGAAUCACUGGGCGUAAAGAGCUCGUAGGCGGUCUGUCGCGUCUGCUGUGAAAUCCUGAGGCUCAACCUCGGGCCUGCAGUGGGGUACGGGCAGACUAGAGUGCGGUAGGGGGAGAUUGGAAUUCCUGGUGUAGCGGUGGAAUGCGCAGAUAUCAGGAGGAACACCGAUGGCGGAAGGCAGAUCUCUGGGCCGUAACUGACGCUGAGGAGCGAAAGCGUGGGGAGCGAACAGG
rnacentral:rRNA from 1 species